GAUGAACGCUAGCGGGAGGCUUAACACAUGCAAGUCGAGGGGCAGCAUAGGGUAGCAAUACUCUGAUGGCGACCGGCAAACGGGUGAGUAACGCGUAUGCAACCUACCCUGUACAGGGGGAUAACCCGGAGAAAUUCGGACUAAUAUCCCGUAAUAAUAUCCGGAGGCAUCUUUGGAUAUUUAAAGUUCCGACGGUACGGGAUGGGCAUGCGUAACAUUAGCUGGUUGGUAAGGUAACGGCUUACCAAGGCUAUGAUGUUUAGGGGUCCUGAGAGGGUGGUCCCCCACACUGGUACUGAGACACGGACCAGACUCCUACGGGAGGCAGCAGUGAGGAAUAUUGGUCAAUGGGCGCAAGCCUGAACCAGCCAUCCCGCGUGCAGGAAGACGGCCCUAUGGGUUGUAAACUGCUUUUCCAGGGAGAGAAACUUACGCACGUGUUGCGUGACUGACGGUACCCUGGGAAUAAGCAUCGGCUAACUCCGUGCCAGCAGCCGCGGUAAUCACGAG
rnacentral:rRNA from 1 species